GAGGCCUGUUUGUCAAAGAGUCCAGUAUCCAGUUUAGCAGAAGGGGUGUCCAGUCCCAGUGGGCCCAAUUUGUCAAUCAGAUGCUGUGGGAUUAUGGUGUUAAA